UCGCGAGCAAACAAAAAAAGCUGCAAACCUGCAACCUAGGCUUACUUCUGAAGCUGGACACCUAAAUAAAAAGCUGCAGGAGCUCCAUUCUCAGUGCAAUGGUUUGAAAUUAGAAAUAAAACGAAAAGAAGCAAACUUGCUAAUGGUGCAAAGAGAACAAGAGCAGAUUAAAGACCAGAUCCAUUCUACAGAAGAAGCUCAUUACAAAGACAAGCAGCAGCUUACGGAGGAAAUUGUUAAGCUAAAGAAAAUUAAAGAACAAACGGACCUGCAGAUCUCUCAAAAAGAGAUGGAGAUACUACGUAGCAAACAAGAACUGGAAAG